rnacentral:rRNA from 1 species
UACAGAGGUCUCAAGCGUUGUUCGGAUUCAUUGGGCGUAAAGGGUGCGUAGGUGGCGCGCUAAGUCAGGUGUGAAAUCUCGGGGCUUAACUCCGAAACUGCAUUUGAUACUGGCGUGCUUGAGGACUGGAGAGGAGACUGGAAUUCAUGGUGUAGCAGUGAAAUGCGUAGAGAUCAUGAGGAAGACCAGUGGCGAAGGCGGGUCUCUGGACAGUUCCUGACACUGAGACACGAAGGCCAGGGGGAGCAAAACGGGG